rnacentral:misc_RNA from 1 species
AAUUCUCAACCUUUCUGGCUCUUGUGAGACAGUUAGGCUUGGAUGAUGGGAGUUGCUGGUUCUUUGUACAAGUCAGCUCUUCUUAAAUGUAUUAGCAAGAUCAUUUGCUGAUCAUCUUUGGUAUGAUAAUUAUCUAUACCAUCGAAAAUCGGUGUCCUUCAUGGAAGAUUUUUUGCUUCUAAUAGUCUCUCCACUGAGACAAUAUAUGAAAA